UGGGGAAUUUUGGACAAUGGGGGAAACCCUGAUCCAGCCAUCCCGCGUGUGCGAUGAAGGCCUUCGGGUUGUAAAGCACUUUUGGCAGGAAAGAAACGUCAUGGGUUAAUACCCCGUGAAACUGACGGUACCUGCAGAAUAAGCACCGGCUAACUACGUGCCAGCAGCCGCGGUAAUACGUAGGGUGCAAGCGUUAAUCAGAAUUACUGGGCGUAAAGCGUGCGCAGGCGGUUCGGAAAGAAAGAUGUGAAAUCCCAGAGCUCAACUUUGGAACUGCAUUUUUAACUACCGGGCUAGAGUGUGUCAGAGGGAGGUGGAAUUCCGCGUGUAGCAGUGAAAUGCGUAGAUAUGCGGAGGAACACCGAUGGCGAAGGCAGCCUCCUGGGAUAACACUGACGCUCAUGCACGAAAGCGUGGGGAGCAAACAGG
rnacentral:rRNA from 1 species